rnacentral:misc_RNA from 1 species
UCUCCGUAGGUGAACCUGCGGAGGGAUCAUUACAGAGUUCAUGCCCUACCGGGUAGAUCUCCCACCCUAUGUUAUUAUUACUUUGUUGCUUUGGCGGGCCGUUAGGCUCCGGCCCGACUACCGGCCCCGGCUGGUAAGCGCCCGCCAGAGGACCCAAAACCCUGAAUAUUAGUGUCGUCUGAGUACUAUAUAAUAGUUAAAACUUUCAACAACGGAUCUCUUGGUUCUGGCAUCGAUGAAGAACGUAGC